CAAAACUUUUUUUUUUAUUAUUAUUUUUUUUCUUCUUUUAACAUGGUGCCAACGCACCAUUAUUUUUCUUCUUCUUUUCACAUCCAAAAGCAACCAAACCCCUACUUUCGUCAGUUUUUGUUUCCCCAAAAAUGCAGAGGGAGAGAAAGAGGAUGACAACAAAUCAAAACUCCCCUCCGAUUCGACCUCUCCCACUCCGAUUCUUUGUGGGUUUUUUCCUACUUCCCUCACAACCCCGCCGAUCGAUCUGCUCCCGGAGAAAAAUCAGCCGCCGCCGCCAUGUUUCUGUUGGACUGGUUCUACGGCGUCCUCGCCUUCCUCGGUUUGUGGCAGGAGGCCAAGAUUCUGUUUCUGGGCGCCAUUGCUGCAGAUCCUUGAUUUCAUGAGUGGGAGAGGGGGUACAGUCAGAGAAAAACAUGGGGACCAUCGGGAUUUGAGGAAGAGGGGUAUUUGGCUUAUUUUCGUCAGAUUUCUCAAACGCUUUUGCUAAUGAAGAGAGUGUUCGGUUCUUUGAUUUCUUUUGUCUGCCUCCUUCUAUGUUGCUUUGUUAGUUUCAUUCUCCAGUGCUGGCUCAUGGAAAUUUGUAAAAGUGGCUGUAGAUUUCUGAGAAGGUUAUGUUUUUUGUGUAAUCCCAUUUGAGGUUAAAACUCACAAAACAAAGGAAAACAGAUAAGAGAAUGAUGAAAAUUUUGUAUCCGAAUCAAGGAAUUGAUUAUUGAGAAUUGAGUUUGUGAUUUACAGUUCAUUUUGGUAUUUGAUUGAUAGUCGGUGCUCAUAAUUUGGAUUUUUUUUAAUUAAAAUUGUUUGCAGAGAGAGAGAGAAAGAGUUCGUUCGACGCUUAAACCAGAGCCAGGUUAUUCUCAAUCCCCAGAUAGUGAUUAUUUAACGACUUCUCCAAACUUGGCUACUCAGCUUUUCAAAUACAGAUCAGAGAGGAGUCAGAUGAGCUAGAAUCAAGUUGUUCAAGGUCCCCGCGUAAGUGAGUAAAUCAGCAAUCAACAUCACAAUAGUGUUGUGGUCUGUGACAAAUGGAGACGGUAAAUUUCCGGUCGCAUGCUUCACCUGGAGGAGAACUCCUAGAUGUUGAGGAGAUGGAAUAUACAUUUGUGUGCUGCCGAUGGAGAUUUGUACCAACCACCCUCCUCCAUAGUCUGCUGUAUUAUAAACAACACAGAAAGUUUAUGAAUGGGAAAACAUUACUCUAAUGAUAUCAGCAUGUAACUGAGUCACUAUCAAAUUUGUUAAUCUUUUUGCUGCAAAUUAUGCAAAAGAAAAUUAUUUGUUGUCACAAUCAAAGUUGAGUCAGCAUGUAACUGAGUCAAUGGCAUGUUCGUAAAUAUAGAGAAAUUUGGGUCCAAAAACUAUUUGACAGCCGAAAUCCUAUGUCUAAGUAACAGCCUCAACCAAGGCCAAACACAAUCCUCUCUCACUCCUCCCUCCCUCCCCCAACUCUGCCGCGUUCCUCUUCCGCCAUGCCAAGAACCCACAUCCCCAUUAUGAACGUCGGAACUUCUCCACAAAUCUCAGCUGGGUUAGUACAUUUUCUUUAGUUAUCAUCUUUUAGUUGUUUAAUUUUUUGAAUCCAUUCUUCUCUGAAACUCUUUCAUUCACGCACGUCGUCGGUCUUUUAUAAGCUCAUGUUCUUAAUUAGCUAGCAAAUGAGUUUGAGUUGUGCGCAGAUAUUCUAACGGUUGAUGACACAUGUCAAUGUCAUUAACUAAUAUGGAAGAAUUGAAAAUUAGGAACUCCUGAUAUCAUUAGAGUAAUGUUCCAGAGAUCAUUUUCCCAUUCAUUAACUUUCUGCGUUGUUUAUAAUACAGCAGCACUAUGGAGGAGGGUGGUCGGUACAAAUCUCCACCGGCAGCACACAAAUGUAUAUUCCAUCUCCUCAACAUCCUAGGAGUUCUCCUCCAGGUGAAGCAUGCGACCGGAAAUUUACCGUCUCCAUUUGUCACAGACCACAACACUGUUGUGAUGUUGAUUGCUGAUUUACUCACUUACGCGGGGACAUUGCAGACUGCCAACAUUCUCCAAGCUUCCAACAAUACAAAUAUAUAUGAACUGAUGAACAACAUCAGCCUCUUGUGCGGAACUCUUGCGUUGGUUCUAUUGGUGCUCCUCCUUGUUCCAGCUUUCGGGUGGUUUACUCUUGCAUGUUGGGCCGUAUAUUUUGCGAUAAUUGGGACCAAGUCCUACCAAACGCUAAGAACACUGUGUACUGACGCUGUUCCUUAUGUCCGUGACAAAAUGAAGGAGCUGAUGAGGAGGUUGAACGGUAGCGACAACCAAAUACGCGCUUCUUAGCUCUCUGUUUUCUCUCUCAGCUCUGCCUCUCGAUUCAUACAUAAUGCUUGGUGCCCAGAUAGCAACUUGAGCGGCUUGAUCAAGAUUUCUGCCCCUGUUUCUCUUCACUUUUGAGGUUUACGACUCAUUUGCUUUAAACUCGUUGAAAUUAUUGGCUUGUGUGUGCUUCUGUUAUGAAUUGCGUUUUGGUGCUUUGGGUUUUGUCUUUGUAUUUUUGUGGGUAGCUUUUAGGUUUUUGAGUAAGGCUGUGUUUGUUAUGGAUUUGGGAUUCUAAUAUUGCAGUUUUCAGGAGCUUAUGGUU